UGGAACUUUCUAGGAAGGGGAGGAUAUUAUUUUGUUUUCAUUUUAGGGAGGGACCCCAUUGUUCAUCUCCUUUCUUCUCCAUUAGCACACACCUAUGAGACACCAUUAUUUUUCGCUUUUCUUUUCUUCUUUUUGUAACACACGACACACACACAAAAGAGAGUUCGAGAGUGAGAAAUUGUGAGGGAUAACAGACCGGAGUUGAUUUUCGUUCGUCAUCCGCCCGGCCCAGUUCAAGGAGUCUCGAAAUUCCUUCAUUUUUCUUUGAUUUCUAGGUAGAAUCCAUUGAAAAACACUGAGAUUCUAUGGAAAGCUUGAACCAGCCGUGGAGUUUUUACUGAGAUCAACACUAUUUUAACCAAUUUUUUUCUUUUGCAAUAGUUUCACGUAUAGUGGUGUUCCGUCACUUUGCUUGAUUUGGGUUCAUCAUGCUUCUUUACUGGUUUGAAAUUCGGAGUCUUCUAGUAUCGAUCUGUUCAUCACAUGUAGUUUUAGGGUUCGAUCUCUCGAUUACCGAGUUGGAUUCAUCACGGUUGAGGUUAUUCCAGAGGAAAUUCGAAGUCUGGGUUUUCUUACUAUCAACAAAGAUCAGAUUGUCAAAGGUGCUAUGAUGUCUCAUAUCAUAAGUACAAACGCUCAGGUUCGCGACCGCACUUAGAUAUUCUAGUGCAUCAGCAGUAGCAGCAAUGGCGAGUCCUCAUAUUUUAAGGACCGAUUAUGUUUAUUUUAGUGUUUUCAGUUUAGUAGUCAGUUUGAGUUAGUUGGGGCCUAUCUCAUCAACACUUAUUCAGUCAGUUUUAGAGGCUUUCGGACACUUAAGACAGUCAGUCAAUUUGUCAUUACUUUUAUCAAUUUUCAGUUAAUUAUUUUGCGGUAGUUGUUUUCAAGCUUGUGAUUCAAAAAUAUUUUAGUCUUUUAAACCUUAUGGCAUAUUCAGUUAUUCCA